UACGUAGGGUGCAAGCGUUGUCCGGAAUUAUUGGGCGUAAAGAGCUCGUAGGCGGUCUGUCGCGUCGGCUGUGAAAACCCGGAGCUCAACUCCGGGCCUGCAGUCGAUACGGGCAGACUGGAGUUCGGCAGGGGAGACUGGAAUUCCUGGUGUAGCGGUGAAAUGCGCAGAUAUCAGGAGGAACACCGGUGGCGAAGGCGGUCUGCUGGGCAGUAGCUGACACUGAGGCGCGACAGCGUGGGGAGCAAACAGG
rnacentral:rRNA from 1 species